rnacentral:rRNA from 1 species
UACGAAGGGGGCUAGCGUUGCUCGGAAUCACUGGGCGUAAAGGGUGCGUAGGCGGCGCGGCAAGUCGGGUGUGAAAUCUCAGAGCUCAACUCUGAAACUGCACUCGAUACUGCUUUGCUUGAGGACUGGAGAGGAGAUUGGAAUUCACGGUGUAGCAGUGAAAUGCGUAGAUAUCGUGAGGAAGACCAGUGGCGAAGGCGGAUCUCUGGACAGUUCCUGACGCUGAGGCGCGAAGGCCAGGGGAGCAAACGGG